GAUGAACGCUAGCUAUAGGCUUAACACAUGCAAGUCGAGGGGAAACGGCAUUAUGUGCCUGCACAUUUUGGACGUCGACCGGCGCACGGGUGAGUAUCGCGUAUCCAACCUGCCCUUUACUUGGGGAUACCCCGUUGAAAGACGGCCUAAUACCCGAUGUAGUUCAUUGAUGGCAUCAGAUAUGAAUAAAAGAUUUAUCGGUAAAGGAUGGGGAUGCGUCUGAUUAGCUUGUUGGUGAGGUAACGGCUCACCAAGGCUACGAUCAGUAGGGGUUCUGAGAGGAAGGUCCCCCACAUUGGAACUGAGACACGGUCCAAACUCCUACGGGAGGCAGCAGUGAGGAAUAUUGGUCAAUGGGCGCAAGCCUGAACCAGCCAAGUAGCGUGCAGGAAGACGGCCCUAUGGGUUGUAAACUGCUUUUAUACGAGAAUAAUUUGAUGCACGUGUGCGUUAUUGCAUGUAUCGUAUGAAUAAGGACCGGCUAAUUCCGUGCCAGCAGCCGCGGUAAUACGGAAGGUCCAGGCGUUAUCCGGAUUUAUUGGGUUUAAAGGGAGUGUAGGCGGUUUGUUAAGCGUGUUGUGAAAUUUAGGUGCUCAACAUUUAACUUGCAGCGCGAACUGUCAGACUUGAGUACACGCAACGUAUGCGGAAUUCAUGGUGUAGCGGUGAAAUGCUUAGAUAUCAUGAAGAACUCCGAUUGCGAAGGCAGCAUACGGGAGUGUAACUGACGCUUAAGCUCGAAGGUGCGGGUAUCGAACAGG
rnacentral:rRNA from 1 species